UUUCAGUAGAAGAAGAACGGCUGACAUCAGAUCACCUUCAACACCAACAUGUUAUCUGUAGCUCUGCUGCUGCUGCUGGCUACUGGAUCCUAUGUGAAGUGUGAACAGCUGACACAGCCAGCCUCUAUGAUCCUGCAGCCAGGCCAACAGCUGACCAUCACCUGUGAGGUCUCUUAUUCUGUGAAGAACUUUGUCACAGCUUGGAUCAGACAGCCUGCAGGAAAAGUGCUGGAGUGGAUCGGUGAAGGAUGCAGAGAUUGCACAGGAGCCCUUAAAAAUUCACUAAGGAACAAGUUCAGUAUCAGUGCAGACUCUUCCAGUAACAUAAUGACUCUGAAUGGACAGAAAAUGCAGCCUGAAGAUACAGCUGUGUAUUAUUGUGCAAGAGAGCCACAGUGA